GACGAACGCUGGCGGCGUGCUUAACACAUGCAAGUCGAACGGAAAGGCCCUGCUUUUGUGGGGUGCUCGAGUGCGAACGGGGGAGUAACACGUGAGUAACCUGCCCUUGACUUUGGGAUAACUUCAGGAAACUGGGGCUAAUACCGGAUAGGAGCUCCUGCUGCAUGGUGGGGGUUGGAAAGUUUCGGCGGUUGGGGAUGGACUCGCGGCUUAUCAGCUUGUUGGUGGGGUAGUGGCUUACCAAGGCUUUGACGGGUAGCCGGCCUGAGAGGGUGACCGGCCACAUUGGGACUGAGAUACGGCCCAGACUCCUACGGGAGGCAGCAGUGGGGAAUAUUGCACAAUGGGCGGAAGCCUGAUGCAGCAACGCCGCGUGCGGGAUGACGGCCUUCGGGUUGUAAACCGCUUUCGCCUGUGACGAAGCGUGAGUGACGGUAAUGGGUAAAGAAGCACCGGCUAACUACGUG
rnacentral:rRNA from 1 species